CUGGCCGGUCGUGGGAUCUGGAGGCGUCUGGGGUUAGAAUGUGACCCCAGUCUCCUUUUCCCUCAUCAUCUGCCAG
ensembl:miRNA